rnacentral:rRNA from 1 species
AACGAACGCUGGCGGCAUGCCUAACACAUGCAAGUCGAACGAUACCUUCGUGUCUAGUGGCGCACGGGUGCGUAACGCGUGGGAACCUGCCCUUAGGUUCGGAAUAACUCCCCGAAAGGGGUGCUAAUACCGGAUAAUGUCUUCGGACCAAAUAUUUAUCGCCUUUGGAGGGGCCCGCGUGGGAUUGGAUAGUUGGUAUGGUAAAAGCCUACCAAGGAGGCGAUCCAUAGCUGGUCUGAGAGGAUGAGCAGCCACACUGGGACUGAGACACGGCCCAGACUCCUACGGGAGGCAGCAGUGGGGAAUAUUGGACAAUGGGCGAAAGCCUGAUCCAGCAAUGCCGCGUGAGUGAUGAAGGCCUUAGAGUUGUAAAGCUCUUUUACCCGGGAUGAUAAUGACAGUACCGGGAGAAUAAGCACCGGCUAACUCCGUG